AUAAGAUGCGGUGGACAUCAUAUAAAAAUCACCACAAUCUAACCGGAAACUGUAAUCCGGAAAUACAAAUAACAGAUAUAAAAGAUUGGAGGACGGU
rnacentral:ncRNA from 1 species